UAUUAUGGGCUUGUUGAUAGACCAUUUUUAUUUAACAAUGGGAUUUGUUUGAAUGACAUACUUCUGAACAAACAUUUUAAUGCCAGCUCUGUUUAUUUUAGAAUUCAUCUUUUCAGGAUGACAUUGUCACCCGAAGACUAAAAAGAUGAACCUUUUCCUGUUGACAAGUGCUUUGGACACAGGUUUGGGUGCUACGUUGAAUACCCCAUAAUAUAUCUAAGUUGGAAACUGGUGGAUCAGGAAACAAGAAUAUUCAGGAUUGUAGAAACCAGGAAUGAAAUUUCAGCGCACAGUGCAAGAAUGAUACAGGAGCAUGUAUAAGACAGCUGGCACGAGACAGUGAUCUGACAGUGAUGUGGAGUUGAUGCUAAUGCUAGUAAAGAGUGAGGCCAACAACUGUGAAAUAAAUACACGGCAUGAUCAAUCCUUGUUCUAGAUUUAUGAUGAGAAUAAAAGACGAGAACAUUUUGGCAGCAGGAUUAAAGUCUAUAUGAAUAAUCAAACCCAAACCCGUAACUGCACUGACUGCAGAGGAACACAGCAGAUUUGAGUGGAAUUGGAAUUACCUUGUAUCUGGACAGGGUAAAUUAAUGGGAGGACCAGCAGAAGACAAGAGAUGGGAGUGAUUCCAUUCCCCAUAUGCCUGGUGGCAGUGGUCCUUUACAAAGAACCUAGCUGGGACCCAGGGUUGCUUGGGAGAUGGAGUUUAGAAGUCAGCCCUGUUAGGGUUCCUGGGGAUCGAAGGAGGGCACUGUUGGGGUAGGACCGCCCUACUUUCCAUAUGGCCCAGCAGUACUCCAUGGAAGACAUGGCAUGGCACUGGAAGGUUUCGUUGCUUCAACAAAAAAGGGAACCAGCUGCCUUAUGUAAUUGAGUCAGAGUUGGGAGGCAGGAGGCAACACUCAAAGGGAGGUAGAGAGGAGGAAGAAUUAAUUUGUUCUGUAUAAUUGUGGCUUAUUACUGGACCAUCUCUGUACAGGUGCUUCUAUUGAAUAAAUAUUCUUUAUUUUCUAACUCAAUGUGUGCUGUAUUGCUGUGUCUGUUAAUGAAGAAUAACAGAAUUAUAUUCAGCAUAUUAUUUUGCAAGAUUAAUUAUAGUUUUGCAGUAAAAGCA